rnacentral:rRNA from 1 species
GCGACUUUCUGGCCUAUGUCUGACGCUGAGGCGCGAAAGCGUGGGUAGCAAACAGGAUUAGAUACCUGGUAGUCACGCUGUAAACGAUGAGUGCUAGGUGUUAGGGGUUUCGAUGCCUUAGUGCGUAGCUAACGCAAUAAGCACUCCGCCUGGGGAGUACGGCCGCAAGGCUGAAACUCAAAGGAAUUGACGGGGGCCCGCACAAGCAGUGGAGCAUGUGGUUUAAUUCGAAGCAACGCGAAGAACCUUACCAAGGCUUGACAUCCCAUUGACCGGUAUAGAGAUAUACCUUUUCUUCGGAACAAUGGUGACAGGUGGUGCAUGGUUGUCGUCAGCUCGUGUCGUGAGAUGUUGGGUUAAGUCCCGCAACGAGCGCAACCCUUGAUCUUAGUUGCCAUCAUUAAGUUGGGCACUCUAAGGUGACUGCCGGUGACAAACCGGAGGAAGGUGGGGAUGACGUCAAAUCAUCAUGCCCCUUAUGUCUUGGGCUACACACGUGCUACAAUGGCUGGUACAGAGGGUAGCAAAGCCGCGAGGUGGAGCCAAUCCCAAAAAGCCAGUCUCAGUUCGGAUUGUAGGCUGCAACUCGCCUACAUGAAGCAGGAAUUGCUAGUAAUCGCGGAUCAGCAUGCCGCGGUGAAUACGUUCCCGGGCCUUGUACACACCGCCCGUCACACCACGAAAGUUUGCAACACCCAAAGUCGGUGAGGUAACCAUUUAUGGAGCCAGCCGCCCAAGGUGGGGUAGAUAAUUGGGGUGAAGUCGUAACAAGGUAACCGUAA